rnacentral:rRNA from 1 species
AAAAGAUGGUUCUGCUAUCACUCUUGGAUGGACCUGCGGUGCAUUAGCUAGUUGGUAAGGUAACGGCUUACCAAGGCAAUGAUGCAUAGCCGAGUUGAGAGACUGAUCGGCCACAUUGGGACUGAGACACGGCCCAAACUCCUACGGGAGGCAGCAGUAGGGAAUCUUCCACAAUGGACGCAAGUCUGAUGGAGCAACGCCGCGUGAGUGAAGAAGGGUUUCGGCUCGUAAAGCUCUGUUGGUAGUGAAGAAAGAUAGAGGUAGUAACUGGCCUUUAUUUGACGGUAAUUACCUAGAAAGUCACGGCUAACUACGUGCCAGCAGCCGCGGUAAUACGUAGGUGGCAAGCGUUGUCCGGAUUUAUUGGGCGUAAAGCGAGUGCAGGCGGUUCAAUAAGUCUGAUGUGAAAGCCUUCGGCUCAACCGGAGAAUUGCAUCAGAAACUGUUGAACUUGAGUGCAGAAGAGGAGAGUGGAACUCCAUGUGUAGCGGUGGAAUGCGUAGAUAUAUGGAAGAACACCAGUGGCGAAGGCGGCUCUCUGGUCUGCAACUGACGCUGAGGCUCGAAAGCAUGGGUAGCGAACAGGAUUAGAUACCCUGGUAGUCCAUGCCGUAAACGAUGAGUGCUAAGUGUUGGGAGGUUUC